AUUGAACGCUGGCGGCAGGCCUAACACAUGCAAGUCGAACGGUAACAGGAAGCAGCUUGCUGCUUUGCUGACGAGUGGCGGACGGGUGAGUAAUGUCUGGGAAACUGCCCGAUGGAGGGGGAUAACUACUGGAAACGGUAGCUAAUACCGCAUAACGUCGCAAGACCAAAGAGGGGGACCUUAGGGCCUCUUGCCAUCGGAUGUGCCCAGAUGGGAUUAGCUAGUAGGUGGGGUAACGGCUCACCUAGGCGACGAUCCCUAGCUGGUCUGAGAGGAUGACCCGCCACACUGGAACUGAGACACGGUCCAGACUCCUACGGGAGGCAGCAGUGGGGAAUAUUGCACAAAGGGCGCAAGCCUGAUGCAGCCAUGCCGCGUGUAUGAAGAAGGCCUUCGGGUUGUAAAGUACUUUCAGCGGGGAGGAAGGGAGUAAAGUUAAUACCUUUGCUCAUUGACGUUACCCGCAGAAGAAGCACCGGCUAACUCCGUG
rnacentral:rRNA from 1 species